GGACUGAGCUAGCUUAGAUUUUAAACCCCAAGCUCUUAAAGCAGAUGUCUGAGAAGCAGACUUGUAUCUAAUCCCGAGUGUGUGGUCUUGGCUUCGGAAGCUGUUUAGUGCAUAAACUCAGCGCUGUUUGCUAUCGACUGGAGCAAUCGUUCUGAUGGAGGAACCACCGGCAUCUACAGUUUUACUGAAUACGAGUUCCAUGAAGACAGGGGCUCCUCUCCUGUUCACCACUGUCCGGCAACAACUGUGAGGACGGUUCUGAGACUUAGUUCAUGUGGAUUUCUGGAGGACAGUCCCAUUGGAUGAAGCUAUCAGUCACACUU
rnacentral:lncRNA from 1 species